rnacentral:rRNA from 1 species
UACGGAGGGGGGCUAGCGUUGUUCGGAAUUACUGGGCGUAAAGCGCACGUAGGCGGCUUUGUAAGUUAGAGGUGAAAGCCCGGGGCUCAACUCCGGAAUUGCCUUUAAGACUGCAUCGCUAGAAUUGUGGAGAGGUAAGUGGAAUUCCGAGUGUAGAGGUGAAAUUCGUAGAUAUUCGGAAGAACACCAGUGGCGAAGGCGACUUACUGGACACAUAUUGACGCUGAGGUGGCGAAAGCGUGGGGAGCAAACAGG